AGAAUUGAUCUGGUUCAGGAUGAACGCUAGCUACAGGCCUAACACAUGCAAGUCGAGGGGCAGCAGAUCGAAAGCUUGCUUUGAUGCUGGCGACCGGCGAAUGGGUGAGUCACGCGUGUCCAACCUGCCCUGUGCCCGGGGAUAGCCCUUGGAAAUGAGGAUUAACACCCGAUAGGUGGCGCUUCCGCAUGGCGGCGCCAUGAAACCGACACAGGAUGGGGACGCGUCGGAUUAGCUUGACGGCGGGGCGACGGCCCACCGUGGCGACGAUCCGCAGGGGUUCUGAGAGGAAGGUCCCCCACACUGGCACUGAGACACGGGCCAGACUCCUACGGGAGGCAGCAGUGAGGAAUAUUGGUCAAUGGCCGAGAGGCUGAACCAGCCAAGUAGCCGUGCAGGACGACGGCCCUACGGGUUGUAAACUGCUUUUGCGGGAGGAUAAAGGACGCCACGUGUGGCGUUUUGCAGGUAUCCCGUGAAUAAGGACCGGCUAAUUCCGUGCCAGCCGCAGC
rnacentral:rRNA from 1 species